rnacentral:rRNA from 1 species
AGAGUUUGAUCAUGGCUCAGGAUGAACGCUGGCGGCGUGCCUAACACAUGCAAGUCGAGCGAUUCUCUUCGGAGAAGAGCGGCGGACGGGUGAGUAACGCGUGGGUAACCUGCCCUGUGCACACGGAUAACAUACCGAAAGGUAUGCUAAUACGAGAUAAUAUGCUUUUAUCGCAUGGUAGAAGUAUCAAAGCUUUUGCGGUACAGGAUGGACCCGCGUCUGAUUAGCUAGUUGGUAAGGUAACGGCUUACCAAGGCGACGAUCAGUAGCCGACCUGAGAGGGUGAUCGGCCACAUUGGAACUGAGACACGGUCCAAACUCCUACGGGAGGCAGCAGUGGGGAAUAUUGCACAAUGGGCGAAAGCCUGAUGCAGCAACGCCGCGUGAGCGAUGAAGGCCUUCGGGUCGUAAAGCUCUGUCCUCAAGGAAGAUAAUGACGGUACUUGAGGAGGAAGCCCCGGCUAACUACGUG